UCCCCUCCUUCCUCACCAGUCCCCACCGCCGCCACGAACUCCUGCUCCGACACGAACUCUGCUCAAGCCCGCCCCCAUGGUUCCCGUCAUCGGCAUGGACUCUUUGCCCGUUCCGCAAGCCGCAAAAGGACUCGAGUCCCUCGAUCCAAAUCCCAGAUCAGACCGGGUCGCGGCGGCGCCACGACAGGUUGCCGGCCUGCUGUCCUCCUCACGGGACAAGCUGCGUUCGCGGUGCGCUCUCGCUGCCUGCCGGCUUCGACGGCGUGGGCCGUGGCGCCGCUCUUCCGCAGAUCAGCAAUCGAGUCGUGCUUCCAAUCUGCCGUCUCCCCUCGACGUCCACGGCUCUGUACUCUGCCGUGUUCUCCCCUAGCGCAGGCUGAGGGGCGCUACGCCGCUAUCUGCCGGCUCCUCAUACAAGAGCGAUGGACGGCAAACUGAGCCCUGUGGGAAACAAUUGCAUCAGCUCAGCGACGUCCAGCGUAUCUCCUCUCCAUGUUUCUUUGCACGCCUCAUCUCCAAGCACGAAGCCACGACGAGAUGGUCUGGUCUUGGUACUAUGUUGAUAGCGAGGGUGCAAGGCUCAAGGGAAGCAGCCGGUUCUGUAGUUCUUUGUAUGCUUAUGGUAUCUUGGAUGAGGGUUACAAAUUCAACAUGUCAGUUGAGGAAGCUGCUGAGUUAGCAUGGCGGGCUUUUAUCACGCAAUAUUCUGUGACAGAGCUAGUGGUGGCUGUGUUCCUGGUGGGCUUGACAGACCAGUUUUUAUCCGGAAGAAAGGCCUUUAGCGUGCGUUUGGAUCUGAAGAAAUAAAGCAAGAUAUGGCUGUCAUUCCUCCUAACUUGGCUAGUUACUAGUAUCUCCUUGAUCCUUUGAUAAGGUGUUUGAUGAGUUCAAUGCAAUGAAACAGAUGAGCUGAACAUAUUCAAGGUUUCUAGCGGGAAUCACUUCUUCGUGGCCAUUCUGGCGAUAAUGGUUGUACUCCAGGUAAAAAAACAAAUACUAUAAUUCUUCUAUUCCACAUAUGUAGUAGUUUCGGUUAUUGUUAAAUGUUGUUUCCUUUGUAUAUAUGCAAGCUCUUAUCCUCGAGUUUCCUUGGCAAGUUAACUUCAACAAUCAUGUUAAGCUGGCACCUAUGGUUGGUGCUGAUGGGAGUUGCUCGUUUAGGUGCUGAUGGUCCAAGAAUUGUAAAGAUGAGGCAGGGGAACCUUAUUUGUGUGGUGGAUGCAAUUAUGUUAUGAGGUCAAUUUGUAACUUAUUAUACUACAGUUAUGGACCAAGCCAUGAAUCAGAACCAAAAUUCAGGAUUGGUGAGAAGAAACGUGAACUUGUAAUGUUUUUAGUACCCUAAUCUUGACUUGUUGCUGAUGGACGACAAUGUUCAAGCUCGGCACAUACUGUUGAACAGCUAAAAUUAUUGGAUCUCAAGACACCUGCAAAUUAUGCAGUUGGAAGAAAGUUCAGAGAUGUGUCGAGUCUUGGCAUUCCCAA